GGCGCAGUGGCCAAGUGGCCAAGUGGUAAGGCGUUGGUCUCGUAAACCAAAGAUCAUGGGUUCAAUCCCCAUCUGUGCCU